rnacentral:rRNA from 1 species
UACGUAGGGGGCAAGCGUUGUCCGGAAUUAUUGGGCGUAAAGCGCGCGCAGGCGGCUGUUUAAGUCUGGUGUUUAAACCUUGGGCUCAACCUGGGGUCGCACUGGAAACUGGAUGGCUUGAGUACAGAAGAGGAAAGUGGAAUUCCACGUGUAGCGGUGAAAUGCGUAGAGAUCCGGAGGAACACCAGAGGCGAAGGCGGCCGACUGGACCUGACCUGACGCUGAGGCGCGAAGGCGUGGGGAGCGAACGGG